UGUCAAUUGCGGGAUAACUUC
rnacentral:piRNA from 1 species